rnacentral:misc_RNA from 1 species
GAUGAAGAACGUAGCGAAAUGCGAUAAGUAAUGUGAAUUGCAGAAUUCAGUGAAUCAUCGAAUCUUUGAACGCACCUUGCACCCUUUGGCAUUCUGAAGGGUAUGCUCGUUUGAGUGUCAUUGUACUCUCACACUCCCGAUCUUUGCAUUGGGAGCAGUGGACUUGGGUUUGCUGCUUCACCGUCGCUUACCUCAAAUAGGUUAGUGCAACUCUUGGUUGGACAUAGUACGGCGUGAUAAGUGUUCUUCGCCGGUGCCUCGCAAAGAGGGUGGCCGAUCGGGAUGUUGUGCUCCAAACCGUCUUCAGACAAUCUCUGACGACUUGACCUCAAAUCGAGUAAGACUACCCGCUGAACUUAAGCAUAUCAAUAAGCGGAGGA